rnacentral:hammerhead_ribozyme from 1 species
ACCCAGCUGAAGAGUCACAAAUAGGACGAAACUUCUGUUCUGGAU